CUGUCAGUCAAAUAACUCCGCCAUGACCCAACUAAUUUUAUCAUUGAAAACUUCCUCAUAAAAGUCAAAUCAUUAGCUUUCCAGUGGUAUGAUUGGUUAAGGGAUUUGUGUGAAUCGAGAGUUGAGGUCUUCUUCAGCUGAAGGAAAAGCAGCAAGAAGCACAAUGGCGCAUCACAUCACCUUCACGUCGUCUGAAGGAGAAAAUGCGAGAUCAACAGAGAUUGGAUGGCACAACUGGUGGAAGCAGCCAACUGCAGGACAUUGGCAACCAUAUGACCCCAUGGACUAUGAUGAUGGCAUGAAUAUGGAAGAUGGGAAGCCUCUGAAUAAAGAGAAAGACAAGGAUGUCCUGAAUGUGCAGAGUAAUCUCACCUAUCCUUCUUUCUUGAAUUUCCCCUUAGUGGUCAAUAAUCUAUUUUACAGACAUAAACGUCAUUUACACCCCAUCAUCUGCUAGGUUUAGAUGGACAGAUGGACACACGUAGGCCUACACAUAUCAGCUGUGCCGGAACGUACAUCACGUAUCUGGUGUGAAUGUGGCGUUAUGUGUAACACAACUGUAAUAUAUUGUAUAAAGUAUGAUUUCAUAAACAUUUGUAUUUACAGUUACUGUCUUAGUUAAUUCAGCCUUCUGAUAAUCUCCCCAUUUCCACCAGCUCUAGGAUGCAUCUAGUAUGCAUACCAUUUUUUUUAAUUCUUUAAAUUGACCUUUACAUUUAUAGUAAUGAUCCAUGACCUAGUCAAGUUUGGGUAUAUCAUGUGAGUGCAUUUGCAUCAACCUUCCUUCAUAGGUAAGCUCCCAUCCUUGAGGAGCUUCAACCCCACAUGUAUUGUAAAAUAAAUGCUCUUAAUUUUGCUCUUCAUAUUGCAAUCUUCAGUCAAUAAACAAUUUUUCUUUAAAUAGAA